UGCGAAUGGCUCAUUAAAUCAGUUAUCGUUUAUUUGAUAGUACCUUACUACUUGGAUAACCGUGGUAAUUCUAGAGCUAAUACAUGCUGAAAACCCCAACUUCGGAAGGGGUGUAUUUAUUAGAUAAAAAACCAAUGCCCUUCGGGGCUUCUUGGUGAUUCAUGAUAACUAAACGGAUCGCAUGGCCUUGCGCCGGCGACGGUUCAUUCAAAUUUCUGCCCUAUCAACUUUCGAUGGUAAGGUAUUGGCUUACCAUGGUUUCAACGGGUAACGGGGAAUUAGGGUUCGAUUCCGGAGAGGGAGCCUGAGAAACGGCUACCACAUCCAAGGAAGGCAGCAGGCGCGCAAAUUACCCAAUCCCGACACGGGGAGGUAGUGACAAUAAAUACUGAUACAGGGCUCUUUUGGGUCUUGUAAUUGGAAUGAGUACAAUUUAAACCUCUUAACGAGGAACAAUUGGAGGGCAAGUCUGGUGCCAGCAGCCGCGGUAAUUCCAGCUCCAAUAGCGUAUAUUAAAGUUGUUGCAGUUAAAAAGCUCGUAGUUGAACCUUGGGCCUGGCUGGCAGGUCCGCCUCACCGCGUGUACUUGUCCGGCCGGGCCUUUCCUUCUGGAGAACCUCAUGCCCUUCACUGGGUGUGCUGGGGAACCAGGACUUUUACUUUGAAAAAAUUAGAGUGUUCAAAGCAGGCCUUUGCUCGAAUACGUUAGCAUGGAAUAAUAGAAUAGGACGUGCGGUCCUAUUUUGUUGGUUUCUAGGACCGCCGUAAUGAUUAAUAGGGACAGUCGGGGGCAUCAGUAUUCAAUUGUCAGAGGUGAAAUUCUUGGAUUUAUUGAAGACUAACUACUGCGAAAGCAUUUGCCAAGGAUGUUUUCAUUAAUCAGUGAACGAAAGUUAGGGGAUCGAAGACGAUCAGAUACCGUCGUAGUCUUAACCGUAAACUAUGCCGACUAGGGAUCGGGCGAUGUUCUCAUUUUGACUCGCUCGGC
rnacentral:rRNA from 1 species